rnacentral:lncRNA from 1 species
GGAGGUAUGGCAUAGGGAAGGAAGGACUACGAAAAAUGAAAUUAUGAAUGAAUCAGAUUUUGUAGAAAUUAAGUUUUGCUUAAUCCUCAAGCAUAAGACUCAUGCAAAGUAAGAUGGAGCAUGCUCUGUGGCUCCUCAAGGGUAUAAACAUGACCUCUAGGCACACUCAAAGAUCAUCCAUCUGCUGCAAGUCUUCUUGAUUGCCUAGGAGAUGGCUAAGGCAAGACUUCAGCCGUCAUGGCCUCCUUGCAUGGUUGUGCCGUGGACGAGUUUAGGAGCCUUGUUAGGGCAUGUAAACACGAUGGUGAUAUCAAUCUUUAUUCUUCUCGUCACUUUGAUGUAUUUUGAUGCAAUCUUUAUUCAUUUACAUGAUCACAGACAUGUUUUGCAUAGUAGCAACAAUUAUGAUCUUGAAGCCGAAGGACGCGCGACAUGAUGCCCCACUGAUCACUGUAAGGGUAUGUAGCAUGCCAAUAAUACUUCCUGCUUUCAGCAAUUACUCUCCUCUUCGCGUUGCUAUCUAAAUUGUCCAGAGGCAUGCUCUUUAUAGCUCUUAUCACAUUGUUCACUCCAUUCAUCUCCGUCGAAAAAUCUUUAUAAAUAACCAUCUCUCAUGUUAUCUUCAAUAGGCUCAAAAUGAUUUUUUUUCCAAGAUUCAUUCUAGAUAGGUGGCCUGCCACUAAAUUUUCUGAUCCCAUUUUAUCUCUAAUUUCAACAUCGAAGUCUUGCAAUAAAAGGAUUCAUGAAAU